ACUCUUCCUGUCCUGAACCUUCUGUCAGAAUUCCCGGUUUUUAGGCUGGCGUUCCUACUGGGUGGUCCUCCAAGAUGGGGUUCUGUCCUGGUACUCUAAACAGUUGGAUGCAGCUGCCAAUGUCCGAAGACAAGGCUGUAAGCCCCUGACCCAAGCCCACUGUUUGAUCAAAGCCAGAGACCACUGCUUUUUCACCCUCAAGUGCUUCGAUGACAGUGUGCAUCAUUUCAAAGUGUCCCCCAAGAAUGACCCUGAGG